rnacentral:rRNA from 1 species
AUUGAACGCUGGCGGCAUGCCUUACACAUGCCAGUCGAACGGUAACAGGUCUUCGGAUGCUGACGAGUGGCGCACGGGUGAGUAAUACAUCGGAACGUGCCCAGACGUGGGGGAUAACGAGGCGAAAGCUUUGCUAAUACCGCAUACGAUCUAAGGAUGAAAGCAGGGGACCGCAAGGCCUUGUGCGUUUGGAGCGGCCGAUGGCAGAUUAGGUAGUUGGUGGGAUAAAAGCUUACCAAGCCGACGAUCUGUAGCUGGUCUGAGAGGACGACCAGCCACACUGGGACUGAGACACGGCCCAGACUCCUACGGGAGGCAGCAGUGGGGAAUUUUGGACAAUGGGCGAAAGCCUGAUCCAGCAAUGCCGCGUGCAGGAUGAAGGCCUUCGGGUUGUAAACUGCUUUUGUACGGAACGAAAAGGCUCUGGCUAAUACCUGGGGCACAUGACGGUACCGUAAGAAUAAGCACCGGCUAACUACGUG